rnacentral:rRNA from 1 species
GACGAACGUUGGCGGCGUGCCUAAUGCAUGCAAGUCGAACGAGGGAUCCCCUCCGGGUAACCGGAAGGGAUCACCUAGUGGCGAACGGGUGAGUAACACGUGAGGAACCUGCCCCGGAGACCGGAAUGGCCCAGGGAAACUUGGAUUAAUGCCGGAUGUCCUCGGUUGAUCGCAUGGUCGACCGAGGAAACAGUCCGCUGCUCCGGGAUGGUCUCGCGGCCUAUCAGCUUGUUGGUGAGGUAACGGCUCACCAAGGCGACGACGGGUAGCUGGUCUGAGAGGACGAUCAGCCACACUGGGACUGAGACACGGCCCAGACUCCUGCGGGAGGCAGCAGCAGGGAAUUUUGCACAAUGGACGAAAGUCUGAUGCAGCGACGCCGCGUGGGGGAUGACGGCCUUCGGGUUGUAAACCCCUUUCAGGAGGGACGAAGCGAAAGUGACGGUACCUUCAGAAGAAGCCCCGGCCAACUACGUGCCAGCCGCCGCAGUAAUAC